rnacentral:rRNA from 1 species
GCUUUCGACAGGCUUAACACAUGCAAGUCGAGGGGCAGCACAGGUAGUAAUACCGGGUGGCGACCGGCGCACGGGUGAGUAACGCGUAUGCAACUUGCCUAUCAGAGGGGGAUAACCCGGCGAAAGUCGGACUAAUACCGCAUGAAGCAGGGAUCCCGCAUGGGAAUAUUUGCUAAAGAUUCAUCGCUGAUAGAUAGGCAUGCGUUCCAUUAGGCAGUUGGCGGGGUAACGGCCCACCAAACCGACGAUGGAUAGGGGUUCUGAGAGGAAGGUCCCCCACAUUGGUACUGAGACACGGACCAAACUCCUACGGGAGGCAGCAGUGAGGAAUAUUGGUCAAUGGCCGAGAGGCUGAACCAGCCAAGUCGCGUGAGGGAUGAAGGUUCUAUGGAUCGUAAACCUCUUUUAUAAGGGAAUAAAGUGCGGGACGUGUCCCGUUUUGUAUGUACCUUAUGAAUAAGGAUCGGCUAACUCCGUGCCAGCAGCCGCGGUAAUACGGAGGAUCCGAGCGUUAUCCGGAUUUAUUGGGUUUAAAGGGUGCGUAGGCGGCCUUUUAAGUCAGCGGUGAAAGUCUGUGGCUCAACCAUAGAAUUGCCGUUGAAACUGGGGGGCUUGAGUAUGUUUGAGGCAGGCGGAAUGCGUGGUGUAGCGGUGAAAUGCAUAGAUAUCACGCAGAACCCCGAUUGCGAAGGCAGCCUGCCAAGCCAUGACUGACGCUGAUGCACGAAAGCGUGGGGAUCAAACAGGAUUAGAUACCCUGGUAGUCCACGCAGUAAACGAUGAUCACUAGCUGUUUGCGAUACACUGUAAGCGGCACAGCGAAAGCGUUAAGUGAUCCACCUGGGGAGUACGCCGGCAACGGUGAAACUCAAAGGAAUUGACGAGGGCCCGCACAAGCGGAGGAACAUGUGGUUUAAUUCGAUGAUACGCGAGGAACCUUACCCGGGUUUGAACGCAUUCGGACCGAGGUGGAAACACCUUUUCUAGCAAUAGCCGUUUGCGAGGUGCUGCAUGGUUGUCGUCAGCUCGUGCCGUGAGGUGUCGGCUUAAGUGCCAUAACGAGCGCAACCCUUGCCACUAGUUACUAACAGGUAAAGCUGAGGACUCUGGUGGGACUGCCAGCGUAAGCUGCGAGGAAGGCGGGGAUGACGUCAAAUCAGCACGGCCCUUACAUCCGGGGCGACACACGUGUUACAAUGGCGUGGACAAAGGGAAGCCACCUGGCGACAGGGAGCGAAUCCCCAAACCACGUCUCAGUUCGGAUCGGAGUCUGCAACCCGACUCCGUGAAGCUGGAUUCGCUAGUAAUCGCGCAUCAGCCAUGGCGCGGUGAAUACGUUCCCGGGCCUUGUACACACCGCCCGUCAAGCCAUGGGAGCCGGGGGUACCUGAAGUCCGUAACCGCGAGGAUCGGCCUAGGGUAAAACUGGUGACUGGGG